rnacentral:rRNA from 1 species
AUAUGGCUCAGGAUGAACGCUAGCGGCAGGCUUAACACAUGCAAGUCGAGGGGUAGAAGUCUUCGGAUUUUGAGACCGGCGCACGGGUGCGUAACGCGUAUGCAAUCUGCCUUUCACAGAGGGAUAGCCCAGAGAAAUUUGGAUUAAUACCUCAUAGNAUUAUAAGAUGGCAUCAUUUUAUAAUUAAAGUCACAACGGUGAAAGAUGAGCAUGCGUCCCAUUAGCUAGUUGGUAAGGUAACGGCUUACCAAGGCUACGAUGGGUAGGGGUCCUGAGAGGGAGAUCCCCCACACUGGUACUGAGACACGGACCAGACUCCUACGGGAGGCAGCAGUGAGGAAUAUUGGUCAAUGGGCGCAAGCCUGAACCAGCCAUGCCGCGUGCAGGAUGACGGUCCUAUGGAUUGUAAACUGCUUUUGUACGGGAAGAAACACUCCGACGUGUCGGAGCUUGACGGUACCGUAAGAAUAAGGAUCGGCUAACUCCGUGCCAGCAGCCGCGGUAAUACGGAGGAUCCAAGCGUUAUCCGGAAUCAUUGGGUUUAAAGGGUCCGUAGGCGGUUUGGUAAGUCAGUGGUGAAAGCCCAUCGCUCAACGGUGGAACGGCCAUUGAUACUGCCAGACUUGAAUUAUUGGGAAGUAACUAGAAUAUGUAGUGUAGCGGUGAAAUGCUUAGAGAUUACAUGGAAUACCAAUUGCGAAGGCAGGUUACUACCAAUUUAUUGACGCUGAUGGAC